GUGCAAAAACCGCAUCAAUGCACCGGAUUUUACGACAAAAUGCGGAAAAACGCGGUUCUACGUAAUAAUCGAAUUUUUUCUGCAUUUUGUCGUAAGAUCCGAUGCAU
ensembl:ncRNA Y104H12D.8 ncRNA